GGCUGAGGUUGGGGGCCCGGUCUCCCCCAGAAGGGAGGCACAUGGCCAGGUCUGCCUGAACAGCCGGCCCUGGGCUGAAGUGGGGAACAGUCAGCUGGCGGUAGGAUCCGAGUGGGGGGCCACUCAGCAGGCAGCGAGGCAGUCCUGUGGAAGCAGAGCUUGGGGAGUCCAGGAGGGGGUCCGAUGUGGACCCAGGCAGACGGGUGCUGUGGGCCAAGCUCGCUGUAGAAGAGGUUCCCCUGAUGUGGGAGCUGUGGGCUCUCCAAGAGCCACACUCAGAGACACCCACGCUGUCCUCAGGCUCCUUGCUCCUUGUAAGAACAAGGGAGGUAUCUCGAACUCGUCACUGAGCCCUAAAUAGAGCAGCCCAACCGCACCCUCCCCAAGACUUCUUGGACAGGAUGGCAGCACGAGGCCAGCAGCAAGUGCCUGGGCUGGGCCGGGCCAGGCGGCCUGGGCAGGUGGGGAGGCCUCUGCUCUCUGUGCCCCCAUUGGUCUAAGGAAGUCUCCAUGCCCUUUCUGAGCAGGGGCCCAGCCUGGGGGAGGCCAUUUAUACCCCUCCCCCGGGCCCACCAGCCUACUCUCCACUGCCGGCCUGACCUCGCUCCCAGCCCUGCUGGCCCGGCUCUAGGCUCCGAGCUCAAGACCUCAGGAUGGGGGAGUAAGUGGCACCAGGGCAGGGCCCCUGCUGCCCCCCACCCGGCCCUCACAUGUCCCCAGCAGCAGCCCCUGACCACCCUGGCCCCUCUCAUGCCCACACUCUGCCAGCAGGGCCCUAACCUCUCUCUUUUCUCCCCCUCCCCCCUUCCUUUCUCCUGGGACAGUGAGGAGGUGAGUACCCCCUGGGGGGGCUGAAACCUGGAGGGAAUGACCCUCCCCCUCAGAAUGGUCAGAGGGCAGAGCCUGAAGGCUCUGAGGCCCAAGGAAGACCCUCCCCACGGAAAGGGCCCCGCCCACGGAGGCACUGAAGAAAGAGAGGAAGUGGCGGCCUGCCGCCCUAGGGGCAGGGGAAGUGGGCCGGGCCUGGACACCCAGAAUCACUUCUUCUUUCUAAUUUCUGCACCCCACACACCUUCCCAGCCUCCCUG
rnacentral:lncRNA from 1 species